CGGGAGUGGGGGGGGGGGCGGCGGCGCCUCUGCGCCUGCGGAGGGAGGGGGCGGCCCUGAGGGGAGGGAGGGAAUGGCGGCGGUGGAGGGGGGGGCUCCCCUCGGAGUUUGGGAGUUAUAGUGGGGAAGGAAGCCGCCUGCUGCCCUUUUUGUGGGUAGGGGGAUUGGGGAAGGCAGGUUGAGGCGGUGGGGGGUUGCUGGAAAGGUUUUGCGUCCUGCCAUCGAGUGUUGUGGAGCAGCCAUGAGGCGAGUGGCCAUGAGAAUCCUGCAAAAGUCCACUUCAGUUUGGGAGGAAGCGUUAGGAAGAAAUUUAGCGUGCCUGAAAGUUGAAAACAAGAAAAGGGAAUAACUUUGUGAGUUUGGCAGCUCAAAGAGGAGCUUCACCGGAAACACAAAGACUUCACCCACCUCAUUAUCGGAUAAGGACAUUUGCCUUUCAUUUCAUGAACUGCAACACUUCAUCUGUGCUCGUGACAGUAAUGUGAGGAGCAGUAAAUGAUUUUCUGUAUCGGCUUCUGGCCUUUUAGUUGACACACCCUGCUGCCACUCCCUUUCUUUUGUUUCUAGCAAGUGUUGCUCUUCUGUCCUAAGGCAGAGAACUGGCAGUGAAAAUGGCUGUUUAAUAUUAAAAUAGAAAAACAAAAAAGGGAGAGAAAUGUAUAGGGUUUUUGCAUAUAGCAUUUCAAAUAUCUUGAAACCCUCUCUCCCUUCUGGAGUCUAAUUUACAAGGUAAAUAAUGGAGUGAAAACCCUUAAGCGGCUCAUCCAGCUGAAGGCAAAAUUUCCCUCUGCCCACAACACUGCUUAAGUAAACCAACUUUUUGCUGGAAAGGUUGCCCCUUCAAAUGGCUGAAAAUACAAAUGCACACAGAGCCUCCCAUCUGGAAACCAGUUACUUCACAUACCAGUAUUGCUGAAAGCCAUAGCUGAUGAUGGAAACCGACCCGUGGGCAGAAAGGAUGUUGCUGUCUCACACUUCAGAAACAUCUAAAACACCUUCAAUUUUAUCCUGUCUUGGUAGAGUUUCAUUGUAAAGACUGUUACAAUUUUACCAUGAUAUUUUGUAAUAAUGUAAGUUUUGUAAGUUUUAUUGUAAUAGCAUGCUUUGAAAGAAACUUCUACCUGCAGAAAGUUUCCUCCUCAAUUCUGCAUUAUCAUUCAUUUUUGCCAUUUUUAGCGAUCUGUUGCUGCAUUACUAGUUACUGCAUUGCACUAAUCAUUUUUUUUCUGUCCUUUAUGACAGUGGCCAUGCACUAUAACUCCCAAACAACUUGUCACCUUUCCGACUUUAAAAAAAUGGUCCUGUAUCUUGCUUUUGUGUAUCCAGGUUCUUAAGAUUCACAGAGUAAUGUACCUAACGUCCUGGUACAGACAUUUAUUUUGUAAAUUGAUCAAGAACAAAUGAAGGCUAUGGCUGUGUAAAUCAGAAAGAAUUGUCGAACGUUAGCUAGAGAGCUAAAUAAAGUACUCCAGGUCAGCUUCUUCACAC